CGUAGGUGGCAAGCGUUGUCCGGAAUUAUUGGGCGUAAAGCGCGCGCAGGCGGUCCUUUAAGUCUGAUGUGAAAGCCCACGGCUCAACCGUGGAGGGUCAUUGGAAACUGGGGGACUUGAGUGCAGGAGAGAAGAGUGGAAUUCCACGUGUAGCGGUGAAAUGCGUAGAGAUGUGGAGGAACACCAGUGGCGAAGGCGACUCUUUGGCCUGUAACUGACGCUGAGGCGCGAAAGCGUGGGGAGCAAACAGGAUUAGAUACCCUGGUAGUCCACGCCGUAAACGAUGAGUGCCAAGUGUUAGAGGGUUUCCGCCCUUUAGUGCUGCAGUAAACGCAUUAAGCACUCCGCCUGGGGAGUACGGCCGCAAGGCUG
rnacentral:rRNA from 1 species